rnacentral:rRNA from 1 species
AUUGAACGCUGGCGGCAUGCCUUACACAUGCAAGUCGAACGGGGUUGAGGAGCUUGCUCUUCAACUUAGUGGCGAACGGGUGAGUAAAGCAUCGGAACGUACCCGGGAGUGGGGGAUAACGUAGCGAAAGUUACGCUAAUACCGCAUAUUCUGUGAGCAGGAAAGCAGGGGACCGCAAGGCCUUGUGCUUCCGGAGCGGCCGAUGUCGGAUUAGCUAGUUGGUGAGGUAAAAGCUCACCAAGGCGACGAUCCGUAGCUGGUCUGAGAGGAUGAUCAGCCACACUGGGACUGAGACACGGCCCAGACUCCUACGGGAGGCAGCAGUGGGGAAUUUUGGACAAUGGGGGCAACCCUGAUCCAGCCAUGCCGCGUGAGUGAAGAAGGCCUUCGGGUUGUAAAGCUCUUUCGCGAGGGAAGAAAACGCACUCUCUAAUACAGGGUGUGGAUGACGGUACCUUGAUAAGAAGCACCGGCUAACUACGUGCCAGCAGCCGCCGUAA